ACGGAUAUGACGAAAUAGGUAGACGUAUUAGAUUUAGAUUCUAACGACAAAAGUUGUGGGGGUUCGAAUCCCCCUAUCCGUA
rnacentral:tRNA from 1 species